AUCUACUGUCAAACCCUAAAUGUGCCCAAUCUCAUCUGGUCUCAGAAGUUAAUCAAGGUCGGGCCUGGUUAGUACUUGGACAGGAGAAAAUGCAACUCACAGUGGCCU
rnacentral:rRNA from 1 species